rnacentral:lncRNA from 12 species
CCUACAUGCAAGCAGGGAUGAGUAUAAGAAUUGAACUUAAAACAUAGGUUUUUCUCCUUUCAAAUGCCCUGUUUUUAAUGUCAUAGCACAGUAAUUGUUUGAAUCUGGCUACUGAGGAUGUUAAUUCUUUCUGGCUCCAUGAAGUGGAGGGAAAUGUUUUCAUCAGGCAUUUCUCAGAGCACUCGGCCAUCCAAGGAAGGACCAAAGAGGAACUGCCUGGCAUCGAGAAGUAGGCAGGGGAAGGACAGAUGCCCGUGCUCCUGGGGGUCCUGCAGAUCCACUUCCUUCUGGCUGGCUGCACAAACUUCAGGGAGAAGUCCACAUCUGGAACACAGAGACAGCUGGCUGCUCGCAGGAGUAGCGGAGGUUAACGCAGAUGAGGUUCCUCCUUGACACCUGCCCCCCUUUUAAGACCAAAAGACUGAAGCCAUUAGAAAGGACGAAUACCCACCAUUUGCUUCAACGUGGAUGGACCUGGAGGGCAUUUUGCUGAGUGAAGUAAGUCAAUUGGAGAAGGACAAACAUUAUAUGGUCUCAUUCAUUUGGGGAGUAUAAAAAAUAGUGAAAGGGAAUA